GAUGAACGCUGGCGGCGUGCCUAACACAUGCAAGUCGAGCGAUCUUCUUCGGAAGAGAGCGGCGGACGGGUGAGUAACGCGUGGGUAACCUGCCCUGUACACACGGAUAACAUACCGAAAGGUAUGCUAAUACGAGAUGAUAUGCUUUUAUCGCAUGGUAGAAGUAUCAAAGCUCCGGCGGUACAGGAUGGACCCGCGUCUGAUUAGCUGGUUGGUAAGGUAACGGCUUACCAAGGCGACGAUCAGUAGCCGACCUGAGAGGGUGAUCGGCCACAUUGGAACUGAGACACGGUCCAAACUCCUACGGGAGGCAGCAGUGGGGAAUAUUGCACAAUGGGCGAAAGCCUGAUGCAGCAACGCCGCGUGAGCGAUGAAGGCCUUCGGGUCGUAAAGCUCUGUCCUCAAGGAAGAUAAUGACGGUACUUGAGGAGGAAGCUCCGGCUAACUACGUGCCAGCAGCCGCGGUAA
rnacentral:rRNA from 1 species